UACGUAUGUCCCGAGCGUUGUCCGGAUUUAUUGGGCGUAAAGCGAGCGCAGGUGGUUUAUUAAGUCUGGUGUAAAAGGCAGUGGCUCAACCAUUGUAUGCAUUGGAAACUGGUAGACUUGAGUGCAGGAGAGGAGAGUGGAAUUCCAUGUGUAGCGGUGAAAUGCGUAGAUAUAUGGAGGAACACCGGUGGCGAAAGCGGCUCUCUGGCCUGUAACUGACACUGAGGCUCGAAAGCGUGGGGAGCAAACAGG
rnacentral:rRNA from 1 species